ensembl:lincRNA
CGGGCAGAAUCAAGGAGGUGUCUGAGAGUCACUUGUCCAGGAAAACUUCGUUCCUGAGUGGCAGCACCUGCGACCACGCUACUUCGUGAGCGCGUAGGCCCCGAGGAGGCAGGGUCUGGAUAUUUUACCCAGAGCGUUUCUUUACUGAGCACGGGGAGAAUCCUUUUCCGUGGAAAAAUUUCAGUUCUGUGGUAACUUGGUAGCUGGUGUUAGUGGAACACCUGCUAUGUGUUUGCGGAGCCCUUCUACCUGUUUUACAUAGAUUAUAUGAAAUCCUUGCACUAACCGUUAGGUAGCUGUAUUCUUAUUACCAUUUUGCAGAUGUGGGGACCGAGGGGCCUCACAACUCUGGAACUAGCCCGGGGGGUCUCCAGCCCGCAAUAGCUGGGGUCAGCUUGCUGGCAGCCUCCCGCCCCGCCGGGGUCUGCUGCCUCAGCGGUGCAAGGGAUCGGGUCCCAAAUUCAUUUGCCAAACUGAGCCAUAGUUAAUUUGCUUCUCCUUAGAACUUUCCCCACUAAACUGUGAAAUUAAAUUGGGUGAAAGUGAAGCAUAUUGUACAGAAAAGUGCAGAAAUCACAUUUCAGUGAAUUAUUACAAUGUGGGCACCCUUGUAUAACCGUUACUGAGUUUAAGAACAGAGCAUGACCAGCACCCCAGAAGCUACCCAAUUCCCUCAGUUGCUGCCUGGCUCCUCUUCGGAGGUGACUCCUUUCCUGAAUUGUACCACCAAAGACCUCCUGGUUCCGCAGUAUCCUGGAGCUCAAGGCAAUUAUGGCUGAAGGAUUUCAGGAGAUACACGGACUAUGGCAAAGAAGAGAGGAGCAGAGACACUCUUCUUUGUUCUCUUCCUGGACUAUUGGCAAGGUCUCUUAUGGUUGGCGCCUUUCCUACCAGUCUCAGAUGGGAGAACCAAGUCCCUCAGAACUUCACUGCCCGAGAUCAUAAGGCACUCAGAGGGUGGACUAGAAACCAAGUUCGGUGCUCUUCCUCCUAGAGCAGGUAAAGUGUGUGAUGCUUCUCUGGAAACACCAUGUAAAAAAGUAGAGAUUUAAAAAGAUUUCAUGUCGGUCCAAUGAAUGAUUUAAUCACAGCUAAGGUUUAUUUUCUCCACAGGUUCAAAUACUGAAAUUUCAUCAAGUUCAAAAAAUAUGGAUGAAGGUUUGGCUAAAAUAUUUGGUAAGUACCUCCCUAGUGUGAAGCUACCCUACUGUUUGAAAGAGUCUCACCCUUCUCGAGGGUCAUCUCUCAGCUAACCCUAUGUUUUGAUGGGAGGGAAAGUGCUGGCGUUGAUGCUGCAGCAAAUUCUUUAAAGAGUCAGAGUCCCAGGAAAUUAGGAAAGUAUGGAAGGUAAACACUUGGCAAGGAUUCCGGUCCUCAGAGAGAGCUCCGUGCAGCAGAGCAGGACUACCACAUGGGAAUUAUUUCAGGUGCUGAGCUGGACCCCACCCUAGACCAGCAGCAUCACAACUGCCUGAUGAGGGGCCUGGGAGAUUCCUGUAGCAAUGGAUGGUGAGGCCUGAGGCUGAGAUAAACCUUCUCCCCAGGUCUUCAGCCCUAGCUGAGCACAAGGAUCCCCUGGAGAGAUUGUUAAAAAGAGGCAGACAGCUCCUCCUCCCUUCUCUCCCACACCAGUGAUCAGAUUCCUUGGUGGGGGAUGAUCUUGCUCUGGGACUUUUUUCCCAGAGAAGGCUCUCGUCUCUGGUGGUGUGUGUGGAUUAGGGGUAGACACUGAGAGUUACAUCUGGUCUGAGAAAGAGCUCUCAGGAGUGUGAGCACUGAUGCUUCCCUCUGGAUUAGGACCUGUUGGAUGUUCUGAUUGCAGAACUAUGCCUGCCAGUCCUGCUUGAAAGGGCCAUCUCUCUACAUGGGACAUGGGCCUUUUUUUCCAGGAACUGCCCCAUGUUGGGAAUUCUGGGUUUGUCCUUCCUCCACGUGUGCUAUUAAAGAGGCUCCAGGGGACCUGCACUGAGUGUCUGGCUGGUUGCAGGGGUAGUUACCAUGACUGAAUGAGUGAAGGGAUUCAGAUAGCUCUUGCAGCCAACUUACUGUGCUGGGAAUUCUCACCCGGAAAUCAGAGACUUUUGUCCUUUUUGCAGAAGCCCCAUGUCUCUGAAUCCCACCCCACAUGUGUGGAAGGGGAGUGAGUGAGUGUGAAGGUGGGUGUCUGGUUUGGGGUUUGGGAGGAUCCCUUUAUACCCCAAAGGCCUAUUGACCUUCCCAGCACCACAUUAGUGUUGGCCUUGGCAUUGGGGGGCCACCAAUAAAAUUUCCAGGUUUUCUCUGAGCAACAAUUCAGGAUCUUGUAGGUCAGCACAUCUGUCAUGGAAAGGGCUGGUAAUGAGAACUUAUCAUUUUUUUUAAAUAUUUUAUUUAUUUAUUUGACAGAGAGAGACCACAAGUAAACAGAGAGGCAGGCAGAGAGAGAGAGGGAAGCAGGCUCCCCGCUGAGCAGAGAGCCCGAUGCGGGACUCGAUCCCAGGACCCUGAGAUCAUGACCUGAGCCGAAGGCAGCAGCUUAACCCACUGAGCCACCCAGGCGCCCAAGAACUUAUCAUUUUACUAGUAAUUCCUUUAGCUGAUUUUUGGGUGUUGCUGUUGUAAGCACCUAUUUUAUCAAGAGUAGACUACCCACCAAUGUAACAACAACCCUUAAAAAAGAACUCAGUAUAAAUAUCAUAUCAAUGGAAUUUUGAUUAUUUUUUGUGGCUUAGCAAAGUUAACCUAGAAGGGGAAAAAUGAAACCGUUGUCCCCCAGGGAGAAAUAGACACUGCCUUUAAAAAAGAAGGAGGGGUGCCUAGGUGGCUCAAUCAGUUAAAUGUCCAGUUCUUGGUUUUGGCUCAGGUCAUGAUCUCAAGGUUGUGAGAUCAAGCCCCACCUCAGGCUUCAUGUUCAGUGGGAAGUCUGCUUGAGAUUCUCUCUCUCCCUUUCUCCCCCUCCAAUCAUGCUCUCUCUCUCUAAAUAAACAAAAAUAAAUAAAAUAAAAAAAUUAAAAAAAAUCUUUAAAAAAAUAAAAUACAAAUAAAAGGAGAAAUUAAUAUAUUUCAAAAAAUAGAACUAUGAAAAAGUACUAACAGUUUUAUAAAGGAAGAGUUUUCUGAACUUACAGAAUCUGUUAUCUAUAAGUGCUGAGUCUUUUCUUUCCCUGCCACUAGCCUCCACCCAAUUUUUGUAGGUACAGUGUUCAUAUACAACAUUUUUUCCCAAAAGAUUUUAUUUAUGUAUCUGACAGAGAGAGAGAUCACAAGUAGGUAGAGAGGGGGAAGCAGGCUCCCUGCUGAGCAGAGAACACGAUGUGGGCUCGAUCCCAGGACCUUGAGAUGAUGACCUGAGCCGAAGGCAGAGGCUUAACCUACUGAGCUACCCAGGUGCCCCUGUAUACAGCAUUUGUAAGUGAAUUUUGAAACCCUCUGAGGAGAACCUUGCCCUUUGACUUUGUCAUGUCGUGGCAAUCCUGAUGUGACAUGGAAUUCUCUGGGUCAGCCCCUCCCUCACUCCUGGGAUCUUGGUGGGGACUGUCACCAGUCUGCAGCAGUCCUCCCAAGACUACCUCAAAGACUUUUCAUGAUGCUUGCAGCUCAUUGAAUCAGCGUCCUUAGUCCCAAGUUUCCUGCAUGUCACGUACUGACCCAUCAGGGCUGCCGAGAUCAUGGUGAGCACCAGUGUAUAGGUGAAGGGAGUUGACUGACACCUGACAUCUACACACAGGAAUGAUUUUUGAGGUGUAAACAUCAUGGUCAACUGGAUUCAGAACUCAGCCUUACCUGGCAGGACCCACUUCCUCUUCUCAGUCUGCUUAGCUUAGUGCCUGCCUUCUGGCUUUCUUGGGCUGAGUUGGUUUUCCUCUCGUGUCUGCUCUGUCCCUUGUCUAAUUGCUCUGUGCAACUGUGUCACUGUGUUUGCUUGUGUCUGUGUGUACUUCUGCCUCUCCCACAUGUCUCGAUGGCUCAGGGUUGCAGACCAGGCAGUGUGUUUCCAUCUGCUUUGUUUUUGUCUUCUUUAAAAUAUUUUUAAAAUAUUUAACCAUUCAGCACCGACAAUGUAUGUCAACUGUUAUACAGAGUUUCUUUGAACAAUUUGGGUUCCAAAUGUUUAUUUUGGUCCUAUUAUUUGAAGUUGGACCAAAUUUUACCCUCAAAACAGUACAAUAUGAUUCACAGUGAUACCACCUUAUGUACCCCUCCCCACAUUUAUUGAGACACAAAUGACAUAUAACACUGUAUAAGUUUAAGGUGUAAACAUGGUGAUUUGAUACAUAUUAUAUGAUGCAAAAUGAAGAACAUCACAGUAUUAACCUAAUUUCCUCCAUCACGCCCUGUAAUUAUUUCUUCUUUAUGCUGAGAACAUUUAAGAUCUACUAUCUUAGCACCUUCCAAGUAUGUAAUAUGGUAUCAUGAACUAUAAUCACAAUGUUGUACAUUGUAUACCCAGAACUUACUCAUCUUGUAAUUGGAACUUUGAAACGUGAUCAAUAUCUCCCCAUUUCCCCCAACCCUGACCCCUGGAAGUCACUAUUCUAUUUUCUGUUUCUAUGAGUUUAGUUUUUUUAGAUUUUAUGUAGAAGUGAGAUCAUAUAGUAUUUGUGUUUCUCUGUUUGACUUAUUUCAUUCAGCAUAAUGCCCU